rnacentral:tRNA from 1 species
UGGGUCGUAGCUCAGUGGUAGAGCGCUUGCCUAGCAUGUGUGAGGCACUGGGUUUGAUCCCCAGCACCACAU